UACGAAGGGGGCUAGCGUUGCUCGGAAUCACUGGGCGUAAAGCGCACGUAGGCGGCUUUUUAAGUCAGGGGUGAAAUCCUGGAGCUCAACUCCAGAACUGCCUUUGAUACUGAGAGGCUCGAGUCCGGGAGAGGUGAGUGGAACUGCGAGUGUAGAGGUGAAAUUCGUAGAUAUUCGCAAGAACACCAGUGGCGAAGGCGGCUCACUGGCCCGGUACUGACGCUGUGGCGCGAAAGCUAGGGGAGCAAACGGG
rnacentral:rRNA from 1 species